CAGAUAAGGGAAUUGGAUUAGUUGUUAGCAGGUGUCAACCACAUUCUCUUUCAGGUAGUUUAGUGGUUUGGUGUUAGGAAUGCUGAGUUACUUGUUUAACUGGCCUUCUACGCUUGCCAGCUGGACAGAUUGAAUCGAUUUAACCCAUCCCUGGGUGAUGAAAUUGUCCUCAACCCUAAUAUGGAGGUGGUUUGCAAAAUCUUGUCAUCCUCAGCUUGGCCCAGUCUUCCAUCACUUAUGGAAACAAUUGCCUGGAUUAAAGGCCCUCUACUUAAAAUACCAAGUGGCCGAGAGCAGGAGAGCAGUGGUUCACGCCUAUAAUCCCAGCACUUCAGGAGGUCUAGGCGAGAGGAUCCCCUGAACUCAGUAGUUCAAGAUCAGCUUCAGCAACAUAGUGAGACCUCGUCUCUACUAAAAAUUAAAGAAAAAACAAGCUGUGCAAGGUGGCAAGCGCCUUUAGUCCCAGCUGCUCAAGAGGCUGAGGUGAAGAUUGCUUGAGCCCAGGAGUUUGCAGUGAGUAAUGAUGGCAGCCAGCUUAGGUGACAGAGCAAGACCCUGUCUUCGAAUAAAUAAAAUAUCCAAGUGGUUUCCAUUUUCUGAUUAGAGGCUGACUAAUGCAAUGAAAUUUUCAUAUCACAUGUUAAGACUUCUGUAUUAAUUUAGAAAUAAUGUUUUUUCCAUUUCCAUUUGUUCAAUGUCUUCAUAUUGUUUUUGUCCUUAAUAUAAAUCAUUUGUUUGUCAUCUAACUCAGUGUUUCACAAUACAGCAUGUUUAGAGAAAGAAUUUUUGGAAUUGAUCUAUAGUGUUUCCACAGGUAGUCUUAUCUUAAACCCAAAGGACUAUUUUUAUAAUAUUAAAAUGUAUUUCCAUUCACCCUGCUGAUGUAUUUUUUGUGAUUGCUACAAUAUUGUCUUACCGUAUUUUUUAAGAUUGCCUGUAUUGAAAUAAUGUAAUUUAAUUUAUAUAAAAUAAAAGACAAACAUUUUAAGUGUACAGUUUGCUGAACUUUGACAAAUCCAGACACUUCUGUAGCCACCGACACAAUCGACAAAUAGAAAACCUUCAUGAUCUCCACAGUUCCCUCAAGCCCACUUGUGGUCAAUCCCAUCUUUGGGCCCAGCUGACUACUUGUUUGCUUUCUGUCACUCCAAAUUAGCUUCUUCUUUUCUAAAAUAUCAUAUAAAUGGCAUCCUAUGUAUGUUUUCUUAGUGUCUGGCUUCUUUCUCUCAGCCCAAUAAUUUUGAAAUCUAGUCACACUAUGUGUAUUAGUACAUUAUUUUUGUUCUUACUUAGUAGAAUCCAUCAUAUGGAUUAAGUGAAAUGUGUCUAUUUAUUUUGGUGAAUAUUUGAGUGUUUCCAGUUUGAGCAAUUAUGAAU
rnacentral:lncRNA from 1 species